AUCUAUGGCCAUAUCACCCUGAAUGCACCUAAUCUCAGAAGCUAAGCAGGAAUGGCCCUGGUUGGUACUUGGAUGGGAGGAAUGACAUGGUCAGAUGUGCUUCAUCAGAGUUUUCUGGGACAAGGUGAGGCAUAAAUA
rnacentral:rRNA from 1 species